AAUAUCAUAGAGGGCCCGAUGGGUUUUCUAAUUGGAAUGAGAACAAGGUAAACAGCUUAUCGAGGAGCCAGCAGAGGGCAAGUCUGGUGCCAGCAGCCGCGGUAAUUCCAGCUCUGUAAGCGUAUACCAAAGUUGUUGCAGUUAAAACGCUCGUAGUCGGAUUUUGGCGUGUGACUUGGGUCGUUCUCGCGGGCGCUCCCAGGUUGUGCGCCUUUGUGGAGGGGGGUCUGGUGGUGCUUAAUUGGAUCGCCAGGCUGCCGCCACCGUUUACUGUGAAAAAAUUAGAGUGUUCAAAGCAGGCGAUUGCCCUGAAUACAUUAGCAUGGAAUAAUAGAAUAGGACCCGGUCCUAUUUUGUUGGUUUGUUUGAAUCGGGUAAUGAUUAAAAGGGACGGUUGGGGGCAUUCGUAUUCCGACGCUGGAGGUGAAAUUCUUGGAUUGUCGGAAGACGAACAGCUGCGAAAGCGUCUGCCAAGGACGUUUUCAUUGAUCAAGAACGAAAGUAAGGGGAUCGAAGACGAUCAGAUACCGUCGUAGUCUUUACUAUAAACGAUGAGGACUGGAGAUCGGAUAAGACUGAUUUAUGGCUUAUCCGGCAUCCUUCGAGAAAUCAAAGUGUUUGCUUUCUGGGGGGAGUAUGGUCGCAAGGCUGAAACUUAAAGGAAUUGACGGAAGGGCAUCACCGGGUGUGGAGCCUGCGGCUUAAUU
rnacentral:rRNA from 1 species